rnacentral:rRNA from 1 species
AUGUGGUUUAAUUCGAUGAUACGCGAGGAACCUUUACCCGGGCUUGAAAUGCAUCUGACCGGCCUUGAAAGAGGCACUCCCUUCGGGGCAGAUGUGUAGGUGCUGCAUGGUUGUCGUCAGCUCGUGCCGUGAGGUGUCGGCUUAAGUGCCAUAACGAGCGCAACCCUCAUCAUUAGUUACCAUCAGGUAAGGCUGGGGACUCUAAUGAGACUGCCAUCGUAAGAUGUGAGGAAGGUGGGGAUGACGUCAAAUCAGCACGGCCCUUACGUCCGGGGCGACACACGUGUUACAAUGGGUGGUACAAAGGGCAGCUACCUGGCGACAGGAUGCUAAUCUCGAAAACCGCUCUCAGUUCGGAUCGGAGUCUGCAACUCAACUCCGUGAAGCUGGAUUCGCUAGUAAUCGCGCAUCAGCCACGGCGCGGUGAAUACGUUCCCGGGCCUU